UUCUGAACAUAAACAACGCUUAAUUGUUGUCGAAUGAACUAACCUAUAUGCUUGUGUUACUGUGUGUAGUUAAAUAUGGCAGCAGCUAUCCUGAUACGUGUUGUGUUAUGUGCAUUGCAGAUGUCCAGUAAGCAAACCAAGUUCCAUCUCUAUGCUCAAUGUCUAGUAUUUUGAUGUAAACAAUAUUUUGCUAGCAAAGCCUAUAGUUUUCCGUGACCCCUUUCAUUCGCUGCGACCCAUCGGUCUUUCAGGGUGACUGUAUUAGAAAAAAGUACUGGAAAAUCAAUUGUUGGCAGUUCAAAUCGCUAUUGUGUUCAAGACAUUAGCUGACGCUACUGUAGGGAUAGUCAAGAAGGAUUCCAGCCCCCUUGUUUGCGCUAUUCCAUUUGAAUGUAUAAUUAUCUUGGUGCAGUAUGAAUUGCACAGAUCUUCAGUGGUACAUGAAUUGAACGAGGGCAUCGUGGUGUUUCUUUGUACUGUUGUCACUGGGGUACAACACUGGCCUACAUGUUUACAGUGCUUGUUGACAUAUCGUUUGGCUGGCUGAGGAGACGCUGCCUUUGUUCUGACUAGUGAUGUGGGCUCGCAGGUACAGCGCCUGGCGCUUUGUUUAGUGAGAGUGAUGCACAUCAGGUUGGUUUAAGGGUCUGCGUCUAGAAAACUUGCCUUGUCAAGCAGCUCACAUGUCAGUUUUUCUGUUCAUUUUCAUCUUCAAAAUGGCCACCUCAUCUUACUGUAUUUUAAUGUGCAUAGGCAUGUUAUGGAGGCGUAAUUACUAUGGUCACACUGAGUUGUUUUCCUCCUGUUUAUGGCAAGGCAGAUGUAAAACGUUAUUUAUGGAAUACAGCAUUUUACAUGGACUGUUUUGUAAGUAUUAUUGUAGUAUUAUUUUUAUAUAUCUAAUUGCCAACACUACUACUUUUUUUUCAGUGUGUUUUAGUCUUCUUUCAACUAGGAACAUUAGAAAGGAAAUUCACAACAAUCGACCAAAGGGCCCCUGAACAGUGUUCUAGAACAGCAGUACAAACAACAAGUUGUGUUUUUGUCCCAGCAUCACAGUGAAUGGAUUGGAUAGCCUGUUCCUAGCUGGAAACCACAAGUAGGAGGGACUGUGUAACAGCUGACGGAAUGGCUGUAAUAGUCAGUCAAAUAUGACCAGAGAGUGGCCAGCCAGCACAAGGGAAAGGCCUUAUGGACCGAAUGAUUCAUUGUUGAAAAAAGGAUUAGCUUCAGCCACUUUUUGUAUCAGUUAUUUUAAGUCCUCAUGUGUAAUUUGCCUGUUUUGUACGCCUUUUUAUCCUCCCAAUAAAACCCCUUCCCAAUCUUUUAGCCAGAAUUAGGAUUGCGGUGCUAUUUUCAGAGUUCUUGUAUAACCAGUUUGAGCCAGUCUAUACAUUGACUGUUCUCCAUUUGGUCGAUAAUUUUUUUGGCCUGCUGAUUAUAUCAUUUCUAGUUUUGGCUUUUAGCAAUCCUUAUUUGAGAAAGCAGGUUUUUUUUUCUAAUAUCUGUUCCCUGUUCAACCAAAACACUAAUUCCCUCACUCGCACGCACGCACACACACACACACACACACACAACCCAGUCUAGUAUGUGCAACGGCUGCCAGUGGUCUUAGUGGAACACAGAGCAAGUGUUGUGCAAAGGAUUGCAGCAUAUACACCCAGAUACAUAGAUGGACAGACGACAGUUCCACAUUUUGCUCAGCUGUAGCCUUUUGGCUCUUUCCUUUGUGGCUCUCGUUCCCUGACUGGCGAGUGCAUGUUUCUCGUUGGCCACCUGUUGGGUUGAGAACCGGUUGGUUCCAAAGUUGAGUGAGUGACCAUGAGAGCACACUAGCAGAUUGCAUUUUUUAGGAGUUUAUAUUUUGGUUUUGAUCCAAAGAUUAUCAGCGAUGAUCAAUAUGUAUGUGGGUGGGUUAUUUAACCAGCCUAUUGUUUACUACUGUGUAUAGAUACAGAGCGAUCUGGCCUCCAAUUUCAGGAACCCAGGGCCCUAGAGAGAUAUUUAUCCCUAGAGGGGGCACUGUAGCUAACAAGGCGCACACACACACACACACACACACACACACACACACACACACACACACACACACACACACACACACACACACACACACACACACACACACACAGGUCUGCACCCACACUCAUUCACAGUGUGGGGGCCGGUGUCCUUCGACAUAACUAAAAGCCCAAACUACGACCAUAGCUUUCAAACAGCAGUGGCUCUUCCCUCUUGAGUUAACAGCCAAACCAAUGCCCAUCAUUUGCUGGGAGGGCCACAAGAGACCUAGGAAAACUGGAGCAAUGCUCAAUCAGAAAAAUAAUGUCAUGAUGUCCUUGUCCUCGACUAGUCUGGCAGCACUAGGUAAACAAUUGAAUGGGCUUGUAGCACGAUUCAUUGUGCAAGUUAGGUCUAUUCAACUACUUCUUUUUGAGUAACACAUUUUGAAUAGAAAAUGUGUCACUCAAAAGGAAGGGGAAACAGAAAAAAAAAUUAAUAACUGGAGCACUUGUGAACAUUAGAAAUAUUACUAAUAACCUUAAUAUUGUGCAUAAAGAGUUUUUUUUCACAAUAUAUUUGUCUCACAUAGCAAAUAGGGCAGUCAGUUCAUUAAUUUCUGCAUAUACUUUCACCUGUAUAAUUAUAUUAUAUAGUGUACGUAUUUUUUUAAUCAAUUAAUCUCUACACCACAAAAGAUGAAUACAAAACUAAUGUCAAGAGAUUGCUCCUUUUAAGUUUCAUUCAUUUAAGUCUUAUCUUUUUCAUUCUUUCAUUCUUAUUAUUCCAAUGAACACUCAAAAUAUAUGACCAAAGCCAUCAAUCAAUCUAGCAACAACUGAUCUGUUAACUGUUAUUAACAUUGAACAGAAAUGGCAUCUUCUCUAAAACAAAGAAUCUUACGUGCAUGUACAACUCCGCAUCAUUUUUCAGACUGACCAAAUGAAUCACCUCCUCAUCAGUCAAUACAUCUUAAAGGACAGCUAGCAAAAAGUCUUUCACUGUUUCAGAACCUGUAACGUUUUAUUUAUUUUUUAUUUACCAAUAAUCCAUGCAACACAGAGUGGCUAUGUUACUCCUCUGUAGCACUUAAUGGCGCCAAGCCAUUAAGUGCUACCCUCUGUUAGUAAUUCCCUCUGUACUUUCACUUUGAUUUGACGAGCAUCCAAGCCCAUCGGAUGUGUUCCAUUGAAGUCAGAGUGAUGUGUCUGACGCAGUGCCUUUGCAGGUUUUGUUAUUUUCGCGAUUGACUUGUUGCAGAUCAAACCUAUAGGCUUUGGUCCAACGAUACGAUAUAUUUCACAGUCCACUCCUCAUUGAACGGGUGGUUUUCAUUGUGUACCCUAGGCCUAUUCAAUGUGGACAUGAUGGUAUAGCUCUCAAACUUUUUGCCACAUCAGAGACAGAUGUUGGAGUGUGCAAGGUCAUGGGGGCGGGACAACGUGGAUGAAACGGCUUCCUACUGGCUCUCGUUUUUGCUCAGAAACAGCUUUUUCUUCGGGGAAAUAGGUUUCGUUACUCGGCCUGGUGUAAGUGCUUGUCCUAUGGCCCUCGUUGAUUCUUCAAAGGCGCGCUCCCUGUACGAAUGCCAUUGCACACUAAGCCCCUUGGAAUUUGAGAACAGGUAGAUUACAAAAGGCUUAAGCCUAUUGUGUGUGAUGAGACAAGCUCUUAUGUUACCGGUGACCUCGUGUCUAUAGGUCGUUGUCGCGCAGAAAUUGUUUUGCGGAAGUAUAUCCCGUUUGAGUACGGUAUAUAGUGCUGGUGUAAAGGGAAUAGAAAACAUUUAAUUUGACAUAGUGAGUCCCCAAAUAUACAACCAACCCACACAUGGAACCGUAAUACAGACAAAAUCAAUUGUUUAUUAUCAUGGAAGCUAUGUGUCUCUGUAUUAAUUCAUACAUUCAGAUAGCCACGACCAAAAGAAAGGUAAAUUUUUUACUGAAUUCCGCCUUCCCCCGUUCACCGUUCGGAACCAAGAUAGAGCACAGAUGGUGGCUAGGUGAAUAAAUCACCGCACAUAUCUCGCAUGUUCUCUCUCGCCAGAGAAGCCAGAGGUGUGAGGGUGAUCCCUCAACGCGACAGCUCAUUACACCGUGUUCGUGUAGGGUAUUUUCAUUGUUGGGUCUUCUUUUUUAAUGCAAAAGUUAUGUUUGCUCUGUUGUGGCCGAAAGGCCCUGAAAAAGACACAGGUUAGUGAAGCCUGUUCCAGAAAGACGAGCUGGAGGGUUUGUGUGUGGGAGUGGGUGGGUGUGUGCAAUGUAUGUGUUUCAGUCUGCUAGCAUGUACCCUGACUAUUGCCUAUUCGACCACUUAGCUUUCUCCCGUCCACUCUGCUACAACAUUCCAGUCCUUUAUGCACAGACUAGCCAAUCCAAGGCAUUAUCUCCCACUGGCCCCGGACUACAUCCCUAUUGUUCACCCUGGUUCUGGCAUCCGGACAGCAUUAACAGUUUAUACACUGCUGUGUUCAAUGCUACUCUUGUACAAGAGCACCCCCCCGUUGACCUCAUCACAGUGUUCUGCUGCUGCAUCAGUCCGAAAUAGCCCAACGCUACGCCGGUUUUAACGUUGUCGUUGUACGUAGCAUGUAGCAUGGCGUGUGCUAGAAUCAACCAGAAGGGUAGACUUAACUGUAGUAUCUCUAGGGAAGUGGCUAGCGGCUGAACCUCAAAGAUGUUUGGGUGUAGCAAAGGAGAUGAGGAUAAUAGGGAAUGCUCCAGGCUAGAGAUACAGCUGUGAUGGGCGGGUUGUAACACAAUGAGCUUUCAUCGUUGGCGUGGCCAAUGUAUUCCUAUGGAGUUGAUCGAAUUUUCCAAGUUCAAAGUUCAAACUAUUUCAACUUUGACCUCUCAAACCGCGUCCAUUGAGAUUACAGCUUUGUCUGAUGUUCUAAAACCAACUGCAUCCAAAUUCCAACAGCAUUUUUAAUUCUGAAACUGAAAUAGAAUAGUUUGAUGAGAUAAAGGUACUAAAGGUGCUGUCAGUUGGCCAAAGCUGACUUCUAGGGCUUUAUUAGAUUGUGCACAUCAGGUGUUGACCGCUUAAAGAGGAAGAGAGCUGGAACAGUUUGCCAUGAUGGUGAGGAUGACACAUUUUCAAGGGUCUUAUGUUGUGACCUUUUCAAAUAUUCCUCUUGUAUCUUUUAUGUUGAUUUCUUACUCGCUCUGAAACCCAAAUCACAUUUUUAGCUUUGUGGUCAUCUAGACCCAAGGUUAAUUUUUAAUCAUUUAGAGGAACUUGAUAAGGCCUUAUCAAAGGAAUAGCCCAGUUAUACUGAGCUGCUGCGGCCAUUAUGGGUAUAAUGCAUAUUCUUCGCAACAAUAAUGAUUUUUUCUCAUGUUUAGAUAUACAGUACAUAAGUGAUGCUAAGCAUUGGGGAUUUAUUUGCUCAGCAUUGUCUAACCUGACUUAUGUUAGAUUAAUCGACCCACAUACUAUUUAUUCCAAAAUUCAACCUAUCAAAAUUCAAAGUACAACAUACAAAGUAGUUUCCUGGUGGAUGUUAUUCAUUUGCAUAUUGUUUAAAGCUGGAAGGUAGAUGCACUUUUACAAAGGUUUUAUUUUUUUGAUCGUGUUUACAGAUGAUACAAUAAUCUGAUCAAUGGUGGCUAGGAGCUCUGUCUGAAUGAAUCGGCCCCUGGCGGCUUGACUGACAGCUCCGUGGCCCCCGGGACAGUAAGAGGUUGGGGGCCCUCGCGGUUAAUCCUUCAAUACAAAAGAUGAAGCCGCACACACGCAUGACUGAGUUCCCUCCGAAAAACAGAUGGACUGAAGUUCCUGUCGUUCUCCUGUGAUUCUUUUGGCUUCCCCCCCUUGUAACACCAGGGAGCUCAACUGGCUAAUAUAGCCGGGAUGGAUUGUUCCUGCAGUAAAAAAAGAAAGAAAAUUCCCUUUCAGAGCUGCCAUUGCGCGGUGGAUGAUGAAGAGAGGAUAAAGAGCAGAGUAAGGUUCACACUGGGCGUGGCUGCCUAGUCUUGAUGUAUGGCGGCUGACUCUUAUCCAAAGCGAACCAGAAGAUGGUACAGUAUAUCCACCCCCCCAAUAAUGUUCUUUAUCGGACAGUCUGCCUCUGUGAGGCUCUCAUCUGCGUCGGGUUGAUUAGUCAAGGAGGUGUGUGUGUGUGUGUGUGUGUGUGUGUGUGUGUGUGUGUGUGUCUUGUUAGCUCCAGUGGUGCUUCAGGGACAAGUAUCUAUCUAGAGAAACUGUUGCUCGAAUGGUAAUCUUUCACCCUUAACUAAAAUCAACCGCACCCAAAGUGUGGAGGAGUCCCACGGCGCUCCAAGUGUCUAAACACUGAAGUGCAGCAGUCAAAGUCGUGCUGAUUUAAUCAAAACGGCCGAAUCCUUUCCUCCUUUGAUGCAUGAUGGCCUGGAUCUUUGGCCUUUGACCCUGCUCUAUUUGUGUGCUUGCGUGCGCCUUUUGCUGUUGUUAUGCUUGUUUCUGUUCGUUUGCUACGGGUUUAUCCUAUACAUGAGUCACUUCACUAUGUAAUGUGUGUGUCUGAAAUGUGACCUGAUUCGUGGAACAACAAGCGUUUCUCUGGUUUCUAUGAGCUGGGGCAGCCAAAUGGCAUUUUUGCAAGGUGAUUAUCCGAGAUUGUAAAAGGAAGCUUUAUUCAUGUGUGUUCUGUGAACGAUGUUGUGAUGGUGUUGGUUGAAAUAGCUGGUCCCAUGGUGGAACAGUCUCAAAGGGGAUUGGUAUCCACGCGUGGGUGGCUGUGUUUGUUCAUGUGUCAGUGUCAUGUUGUUGUACUCCAGAUAGACAACAUGUAAUGCAAAUGUUGUCUUUUUUAUGCGUAGAGAGGCCGUUAAUCCUUGUGUUUUGAAGUGUACCCUAGCGUUGGGUUCAAUUAUUUGUUUAUUCCUUCAGCACGGAACGGGAAGCAAAUAGGGACAGGAAUCGUUAGGGACCUCGCAAUGAAAUGUUCAGAUUUCUGAUUGCGUAUAACGAUAGCUAUAACGAUGCAAUCGUUUUAGUAUUUAGUGUUGUUUUAUGUCAGCGUUUGUGGUUUAAUUAUUUAUUUUUUAUAUAAAACUAUUUUUGACUGAACCUGUCAAAAGUUUUGCGGAGGCAAAGAAUACGGAUUCUCAAAAUAACAGUUUUUUAAUUCUUCUUCCUGUUACAUCGAAUGACUAUGAAUGAAAGCUGUACGUCUUCCACCGCCCAGUGAGUUGGGUUUGCUUAACGUCUCAAAUGAAUUUACAUAUUUCAAUGAGUCAGGCCUCUCUGGGGCAGUAUGUCUAUUGAUAUGGAAAGCAUGCUCUGGGUUUCUGGGACUGUUCACACAGGGACACCGCGCACCACGGCACCAACUCACCACGGCUUUCAGGAACUUCAGUUAUGUUUAUUAACCUCGUCAACGAUCCUCCCAACCAGGCUUCUCUAGCAGAGACUGUUAUUUUGAGUGGUCCGUCGAGACUUGCGAGUGUUGAGUUAACGGACCCCCACAUCUCCAGUUGUCAGUCAUUGUUCUUCAAGUUCCUAAAAUGGUGAGAAGUCCUUGAGGAGGUGGCUUUUGUGUGUCCUGAAACGACAAUGUCCUGAGCUGUUUCGAGUGCACACUGCGACCAUUGUGUUGCUACAGCAGCGGCCCUCGAGCCCGAGUCGUGUUUACAGAAAUAAAUCCCGUGCAGGAAGAGCUACUCGACGCUCUUUCUUGCCUCCCACGGUGGUUCCCCCGGUUUCCUUAGCGUUCUCCGACACCGACUCCUUCGCCGCAUGAAUAUAACCAGCUGAUCAGCUAUUGAAGCUUAAAGGUGAUGCAUUAUACCACCAGCUGUGCGCACGAUUAGCCGUCGCGCUAACAUUAGACGUCGCUCGUCUCGCCGUCAUACAUCUAGGUGGACACGCCCACUUGUGAUGUCAGAAGAGACCAAUUUUCAAAACGGCUUGUGACGGCUAAUCACACUCACACCUGGUGGAGACCUUUUGAAGGUUUCUUAAACCUCAGUGUUUGGUGGUUGUGUGUCUUUGUCGAUCGAUGACGAUAGCGGUGCGAUAAGGGACGGCGAUCAUGCAGCAUACUGUAUCGGGGAGUAUUUCAUGGUUAACCGGACCGUCAGGCUGAGUAGGAUGACUCAUCUGAAACAACAAGCAACAACAAAAACAAAAACAUAUAUGUUUUUCAGUAGAAACGGUCUUGUUUCGACUGUGUCAGAAAUAGACGAAUUGCUUUGGAAAGAGGAUGAGAACUGAUCCAGUGAAUGAACAGAACACAAUAAUGUCUUUGCUCCUUUCUUUAACUUUUUGGUCCAAUGUCACUUUGUUCCUGGUAGUUGUUUGUCCUUUACAUGUCCAACCCUCUGAGGCUAGAAAAGUGAUAAAAGCCAUGCAAGCUACUGCAAUGUGUACAAUAUAUUGCACAAUACAUGGAAUUUAUAUCACAGCAUAUUGCAAAAGCUGAUAAACACAAAACACAAAUAAAAUAUUUGGGACCUUCAAUCGAUAUUUGUAUUCAAGCCAGUAAGAAACAGUAGAAGUUUUAACGGGCGAGGUUUGACCUAGUCGGGUCUUCCAAAUGUCGUGGAUCAGAGGUCCAUUGUCCUUGCAAUGCUUAACUCUGGGACUCCAUUUGCCCAUGUCUAGCAAUAAUAAUGAAUCCAUUCCAUACACUAUUAGGGUUAUUUCUACUGUGGGUUUUAUUCAAGGCAUAUUUUAUGGGCCCUUUUUAUGGGCCGGAGAUUGGAUUGAAGGGUGCGAGCGAUUUUCAUGAAGCAUAGGUUCGAAGGUUGGAAUCAAACCUGAUUUGCAACGAGGUGCGUGGUCUGUGUCGUUAAAGCGUGGGUUGGUAGUUACUGAGAUGCCUCGUCAACGGUUCUCGUAUUUAUUUAUUUUCGUAGUAAUUUUGCUUAACCUUAAUAGGUCGUGCUUCUUGUUUCAGAUGAGUCACCUACUCAGCCGGACGGCCCGGUUAACCAUGAAAUACUCCCCGAUACUGGCCCUUGUAUGUUCCUGGAAAGAUUAGGCCAUCCCAGAGUUUAGUCAAACCAACACAAAGCUGGAGGCGAGGCGCACAGGAGCUGACACACUUUCUCUUCAUUCGGGAACGGAGUGCGGUUGUGUUGGCUGUCCCGCUACCACUGAGUCCACCUGCGUUCACUUAUCAGGCCCGGCCUGGUACAGCCGGGAUGGGUGAGGGGGGGGGGGGGGGGGGAUCAGCAAGCCCCGCAGCACGGGGCAAGGGAUCACAGCCCAAUGUCUGGAUCGCAUUUGGAGCCGCUUCACCUCGCUAUGUGUGUAGCCUUGGCUUGGAGAGCAACAGUCGGUCUUAAUUCUGCCUGCAGCUUAAGCUUUUUUGACCUAGAGCUCACUUUACAUAAGCAGCAGCAACUGGUGUGCAUACUGCAUAUCACAUAGAGUUUGCACGUCUCGGUACAUUUUAAAUCCCUGGAGACUUUGUCGUUCCUAGCUUUCGCUGUUGAAUUUGUGUCAACAUUUCGGUGGUUAACGCAUCGUUUUUUCCUCAGCACUUUAGGUGGCUGUUUUUAUUGUUGUUAUUAUUAAUUAUUGAGCACCCUUGGAGCUUUGAGAUGAAUGCUGGGGAGCAGAGAGAGCUGGAGAAGAGUAGGUCAAUGGGGGUCUAAGGGGGGGGGGACGUUUUGAGCUGAUUUAGGCCCAAUCCCAUUUCUACCCCUUACCCCUUCAAAGCAAGGGGGAGGGGUAAGGGGAAGGGGUAAGGGGUAGAAAUGGGAUUGGGCCUUAAUCUCCCUCCCCACAGACCGGCUACCCUCUGAGUCCUGUAGCCCAGGACAGUUGCUGUGCUUCUCCAGCAGCCUGGAAUCAUCUGAGACGUCAGACUUGCUCGGCGUAGGAGUCUCCGUGAUGACCGCACGCCACAUGUUGUUAAAACACGCACACACAUACACACGCGCGUGCACUGUAGUCGUGUGUGUGCACACACAUACACGCAGACACACACACAUUGGAAGUUAAAUGCACGUAAUGUAUGUAUUGUUAACCCUUUCAUAUAUUUGAAGAACAUAUAUGCUGUGCGCAAAGACAUAGGGCUGUAUAUUGCUUGGAUUUUACACACAUACAACCACAGUUUAAACACACUUAUUUCAUUGAUUGAAGACACAACCAGCCUUUUGGAAAGUAUGUCUUUUAAAAAUGAAUCAGCUCAGAGAGGUAUUUCGCCUGACAGACAGACAGACAGACUCAUUCAUUCAUUCAUUCACUCACUUUCUCACACUCGCACACAGAGCAAGUCGAAUAUAAAGCUUAGAGACAAAGAUGUUGGUGGUGCUAGUCUUUAACACUUUCCCCGUUUCGGGGAUAGAAAGCGUUUCUCUUUUCACCUUUUUCCUUUUGUCUAAUGGAGUUUCCACAGAGGUCUGUCUGCUCUACCUCUUUAGAUGCGGGUGCCCGUCUUGGGUAUUUUCCUUUGAUAGAGAAAACCCUUCAGUGGUCUCACCCUGUGGCUGGCUGCUGUUUUCUCUUCGCCUUUCAUCUGCGAGACCUUUUCAUUGUGCGCCGUUCGCCCAGGGACUCUCCAAGAGUGUGAGUGUGUGUGUGGGUGGGGGGGGGGGGGGGGGGGGGGAGAGAGAGAGAGAGAGAGAGAGAGAGAGAGAGAGAGAGAGAGAGAGAGAGAGAGAGAGAGAGAGAGAGAGAGAGAGAGAGAGAGAGAGAGAGAGAGAGAGAGAGAGAGAGAGAGAGAGAGAGAGAGAGGUAUAUGACUUGCAGCUGUUAUGGCAGAUGUGCCUUUCAAAAAGGUCAUAAUCACUUCAUUUCUAUUUGUAUUAUCAUUUUUCAUCAUUUUUUAUUUGUAUGAAUCAGAAAAUGUACAGCUGGCCCAAAAUACAUUGGCUAAUUACAGAAGGUAACUUGUGUAAUGUUGCUGCUGAAUUAAAAGAAAACAAGUGUCUACCAAAGACAUCGUUGAGUGGAUGAAAUCUGUGAGGCUUCAGCCGCAGUUGGCAGACGACAAGGUACCGGCACUUGCUUCUGGAAAAGCAAAUGUGUAUUCUCAAUUCAUGGUGUGUAAACAUUUUGUCUUGCUACUAAGCAGAAGGUCUGACGUCUUCUGUGCUGAUAGCUGAAUAGCUGUGUGUGUGUGUGUGUGUGUGUGUGUGUGUGUGUGUGUGUGUGUGUGUGUGUGUGUGUGUGUGUGUGUGUGUGUGUGUGUGUGUGUGUGUGUGUGUGUGUGUGUGUGUGUGUGUGUGACAUCAACGGGGAUGAAGAUGAACUCUGUCUCUUCUGCAUCUAUUUAAUUCCUUCCCUAUUUCUAUUGGCACUCUUUAGACAGGGCAUUCGUUGCCUCACAAACCACAUGUAUACACCAAUCCACCAGGAUAUAUAAGUAUAUAUCUUAAUGUUUUUAGAACUCCUGCCUCCCAAGGAUGGUGAGCCGAGUGGUGAGUUAUGUUGCGGCAGGAACCACAUUGUUUGACAACGUGCUGUUUAUGAGGUACCAUCUUGUUUAUUUGGGUCCAUAUUUAGCACGACAGGAUAUUUUUUGCGUGCGGGUGUCAUAGCGGGAUAGUCGCUUCAAAAGGGCAAAACCCAUAACUGCAAUUUCUCCAGACUUUAAAGAAGGGCUGCUCGAUUAAGGAAAAAAUCAUAAUCACGAUUAUUUUUUGUCAAUAUUGGAAUCGUUAUUAUUCAAACAAUUAUUUUAGAGUUUGAAAACAUUGCAUUUAUUCAGCAAUUCAGAAGGACUUUGACAUUUCCCAGAAAAACUACUAAAAAUUUUCAAGUAGAAAAUGUCUAUAAAAUUCAAAAGUUAUGUUAUAUAAUAAAUUAAAAUUGAAGUUCUUAGGCGGGCAGAGCCAGGCUACCUACUCGUGGGCUCUUCCUGCCUUUUUAACCUCCAUAUACUUAAGAAAACCAAUGGGCCCCCCAGGUUUGAGGCUUUCAUCGGGACAUUGGUGGCCAAAGUCUCUGCGGGUCUUAAUUGAAUCGCUCCUGUCGCCGAAUCACCAACAACAAAACGGCCAAAUAGAGAAAAGGAUAGAAGGGUCCUAUUAUUAACAUGUCAGUGGGCUAGUGGUAGGAGGAGUGGUGCAGCCCUGGUUGGGGUAUUAAUUGGUGUGUUGGGGUAAUACAGUCCAUUCUGAACAAGUGACUAGUGGACAGGGGUGCUAGUGCAGACAAACCAACCCCCCCCUAGUACAUGCCCUGUAACGCUCACCUGUAUUCUGAUUGUCCUGGUGACCGCUGAACCUAUGUGCUUCUAGUGUGUACAGACUGAGAGGUGUGUGGGCAUUUGAAUGAGCUUAAGCUUGUGGUUAUACCAUUGCAGGCUGAUUGGUUGAUAUUAGGCAUGGGCUGCAUCGAUAACAUUGCAGAGCUGCCUGAACAUGGAUGGACAUGCUAAACGUGCUGCAGCAGAGUGUAAACAACAGGGCAACUGGAAUGUACUGUAGAUACCCUGUAGCUACCCUGUAGUGUCUUCUAGUGGGGUAGGCCCUUACUGUGUAUACUAUUGAAAUCAGGCCGGUUGGUUGGUUGUUCCAGUGUGUGGUAAGAGUCUCUUUGGGGUCAAAGCGUGUCGUUACAUUGGUUGGUUGGUAUAUACAUUCAGCCUGCCUGGACUCUUGUUAGUUGGUUUCACCCUGUUGAGCCAGGAAGUUUUCUGUGUGCGCUCAGAUGGCAGCACUCAUCCCUGGUGAUACUCGGGGAUUCUGUGUGCCCUGCACAGAUCCAGCCCAAGCUUAAAAUAACCCUUGAUUCGAUUUAACCCUGUGAGGGUCAGCACCGCCACUAAUGAUGACGCGCGCAAGCGGAAGCAGAGUUAUUGUGUAACCACCAGUUUGAUCCAGUCUAUACAUUGACUAAUGGUUCGCCCUUUGGUUGAUUAUUCCGUAUUUUUGCCCUGCUUUCAUUUCAUUUCUUGUUUAGGCUUUUAGCAUUGCUUAUUUGAGAAAGCAGUUUUUCUUUUCUAAUAUCCGUUUCCUGUCAACCGAAACUCUAUUUUACACACACACACGCGCACACACACACACACACACACACACACACACACACACACACACACACACACACACACACACACACACACACACACACACACACACACACACACACACU